rnacentral:tRNA from 1 species
GGUUGUAGCUCAAUGGUAAAGUACUUGCCUAACAUGUAUGAGGCACUGGGUUCAAUCCUUAGCACCA